GCGAAGGCGAACUCCUCGGCGGCCUCCACCAGCUCCACCGUGCAGCCCUCCAGGAUGACGACGCCCGCCGGCUCGCGGCUGGCCGCGUCCUCGAAGUAGAAGAGCAUGUUGCCGCGCAGCACGAACCAGCGGCGCAGGAGCGAUUUAAACCGCCUCGGAGUUUCACCUGCUCCUUAUUAAUAACCAGGACGUACUGCACGCUGGCACAGGGCCGAGUUCCUUUGACCCAGACCAUCAUAUUGAACUCUCCAGCCGAGGCUCAGAGAGGAAAAGAAACCGAGAUGACAUGGCUAACCUGAACUCAAACCGCAAGGAAGUGGAUUUGAACCCAGGCGGUCUGGAUUCUACACCUUGCUGCCCGUUAGGGUUCGCUCGCCGACAAUCUGUUUCCCGGCACAAGAACAGAGACAGUGUCUGUCGUCUUCGCCAUUGUAUCCCCAGUGCAUGGGACAGGGCCCAGCACGUAGUGGAGGCUCAAAAAUCCCAGCCUGCUGGGCAGAGUGUCCUCCUGCCCCCAUGGGGCCCCAGCUCCUCUCAGCCUGCCCAACUCCUGGCUCUCCCAACUUCCAACCCCAGGACCAUACCCUCGUCUCCUGUUUCAGUUCUGGAGACUGGGAAGCUGAGAUGGAGACGCUGGCAGAUUCGGUGACUGGUGAGCGCCCCCCGUUCUGGUUCACAGACGGUGCCUUCCAGCUGUAACCUCACGUGGCAGAGCUGGAGGGAGCCCUCUGGGGUCUCUCUCACAAGGGCACUAAUCCCAUGCACGCGGCCUCUGCCUCCUGCCCCAAUCACCCCCCUAACACCGUCGCCUGGGGGUAAGGAUUUCAACGUGAAUUUGUGGGGGGCUGGAAACAUUCAGUCCAGUGUCGCAGCCGUUGCCCGGCCAGGGGGCAGCCCCGGGCUCAGGCCUGCUCCUCACCUGUGGCCCAGACCGUGUUCCCAGCAGGGGGAGGACGGGUCUGCAGAAGCACACUCCACAGCUGUGGACAUCGAGGCCUCCACGCACCGGCUGGUAACCUUGGGAGGAGUCUUUGCUCUCCAGCCUCAGGGUCCCCAUCUGUACAAUGGGCGUGAGGGUCUGUCUCCCACAGGGCAAGUCUCUGUGACCAGCAUGCUCCACAGCCACCCCUGAGGGAUGUACGACUCACAUCCACUUACAGUCGUGCCUCGAUUAACAACAGGGACACAUCCUGAGAAAUGUGUUGUUAGGCAAUUUUGUCAUUGUGCAAACAUCAAAGAGUGUGCUCAC